UGGAGUCCAUGGAAAAGGGCACUGUGGCCUGCUGGAGAGAUAUGUACCCUGUGGGGUAGCCAUGGCAGUAUCGUCCAUGAAAGGAGGACUGAUCUGUGUGAGUCAGCGGCUGUCCUGGGUGCCGGGUGACUCAACGGAUGCUCCUGGAACAUUGUGGGAUGAGGAACACUUUGAGUAAGAAGAUGUGCGGAGGACUCGGGAAGCAAGGAGCAAUCCAGGAGAAAGUGUCCUCUCACCAGGCCAGCUCACCUAGAGGCGGGGCCUCUCAGCACACACCUGCAGCUCAGGAAGGACUGGCUUAAAAAAAAUAGACGGAGGGAACAGGAAAGACUCUCCUCAGUUAAGGACCAUAGAGUCUGAAGACAACAGAAGACCAUAAGAUACAUGAAAUACAUCUGGGCAAGAAGCUGAUACUGCAGCUCCUGCCUCUGGCACAGGCAGCCCGCGAUUACUUAAAGCCACAGCCCUUCAAUUUAUGAGAAAUGGGAGCCAGACAUUUCCCUGAUCGAUCGCCACUUACUUAAUAUCAGCAGGGGCGGAGGAAACAGAACCGGGACCCUCUUUGCACGGAUAAUGGAGCUAUUUUUAGAUGUGUGAGCCUUUUUUUACUCUCUCUCUAAUUGAGGUCAUUAUAUUAUCACGC